rnacentral:rRNA from 1 species
CCUACGGGGUGCAGCAGUGGGGAAUAUUGGACAAUGGGCGAAAGCCUGAUCCAGCCAUGCCGCGUGUGUGAAGAAGGCCUUCGGGUUGUAAAGCACUUUCAGUGGGGAAGAAAGCCUUGGGGCUAAUACCCUCGAGGAAGGACAUCACCCACAGAAGAAGCACCGGCUAACUCCGUGCCAGCAGCCGCGGUAAUACGGAGGGUGCGAGCGUUAAUCGGAAUUACUGGGCGUAAAGCGCGCGUAGGCGGUCUGAUAAGCCGGUUGUGAAAGCCCCGGGCUCAACCUGGGAACGGCAUCCGGAACUGUCAGGCUAGAGUGCAGGAGAGGAAGGUAGAAUUCCCGGUGUAGCGGUGAAAUGCGUAGAGAUCGGGAGGAAUACCAGUGGCGAAGGCGGCCUUCUGGACUGACACUGACGCUGAGGUGCGAGAGCGUGGGUAGCAAACAGGAUUAGAUACCCUGGUAGUC